UACGGAGGGUGCAAGCGUUAUCCGGAAUCAUUGGGUUUAAAGGGUCCGCAGGCGGGCUGAUAAGUCAGAGGUGAAAUCCCACAGCUUAACUGUGGAACUGCCUUUGAAACUGUUAGUCUUGAAUUAAGAUGGCGUUGGCGGAAUAGGUCAUGUAGCGGUGAAAUGCAUAGAUAUGACCUAGAACACCGAAAGCGAAGGCAGCUAACGAAUCUUAUAUUGACGCUCAUGGACGAAAGCGUGGGUAGCGAACAGG
rnacentral:rRNA from 1 species